AAUUCAAAAAAGCUCAUUAAGUUUUCAGUCGUCCAUUGAAGCUUAGCAGGAGAACCUGUUUAACAAAGUGUUUUGUAAUGAGUACACAACUCAAAGCUGUAUUAAGGAGUACUAACCAUCAAGCUUUUGAUUUAAAUUAACAGUCUACAGAAAUCAUUUGACAUAUUAUUUGUUUAUAGUAAUAAACUGCCCAGUAGGAAUUAGUUUAAAUUUGAUCGAACUUUUUUCCCCAUUUUAGUUAAGAUCUACAUUUAAACUUUAACAAGUUUUCAAAUAAUAAAUUGAAAUUUUUUAAUAUUGGAAUGAUUUUUUUCAAGCACAUGCAUUCAUUGUAAUUAAUUUUUCAAAACACUUGUGCACAGUAAGCAUUAUUUUUUAUCUGUAUUCUGAGAUGAGCUCAGCAGAAUUUUACCGGUUAAUCAAACAGAUUGUAUUUUUCUAAUUAGAAAAUGUUACAUGUAUUUUGGUAGUAGUAGAUAUGUCUUAUUUUUCUAGAUUUUAUAUUCAGAUGUAUAUUUAUGUUGCAUGAAAUUGCAAAGUUCUGUGAACUUCAUUUUUUCAUGUAUUUUAUGGAAAUAUCCAGAACAUUGAACAAGGAGAAGUGUUUGGGCUGUUGUUUUAUUCUCUGAAUGAUAUCAAUGCAAUGAUUAACAUUUUCAUCAUUUUACAACAUCGCUUUGCCAUGUCACAGGUACAAACUUAAGGUAAUAAAGGUAACAUGUGACUGGUUCAAGGCUAAAGAAUUUUAAAAAUCAAUGACAGACUCGCUUUUGAGCGCAAUUUCACUACGAUGUAUCUUCUCCUUUUAUAAGAGUAUGCUUGAGAUCAGAAUUGAGUUUGUUCAUCUUUUACGACUGUGACGUUUGAACAGGUAAGAUAUUAUAUGCAGUGCUAUAUUAAACAUGCUAUAAUCAAAAUCAAAUUUUUUAAAACCAUUUUUUAAUCAAUGCAAUACUUGAUUCAAUGUUAACUGGCUUUUUUUUUGCUGUAUUCCAUUGCUUCAAAAGUUGUGAAAGAUUAAAGAGUAAAAGAGUAGAGCUAUUUGUUUUGGUUAUCUUGACUCUUCUCUCUCGACUCUGUUGUAUUAAAUAUUUUUUUGAUCUCAAUAAGAUUGUCAAUUUUGUUUAUUUGCUUGUUUCUCAUACUUGAAAUAAAAUUAAUAAC
rnacentral:misc_RNA from 1 species